UAAGAAAGAAAAAAUCUUUAGAAAAAUGGAAAAGGCACUGGAUUAGACCAAAAUGGCGUUUACUUUCUUUACUCCUGUGAAUGCAAAUGUUAAAAAGCUAUUGUGUAUGCUGUGGAUGCUUGUCUGGCAAGAAACCCAAUUGAGCCUCUUUCAGACUUAGACUUGUUUAGAUCAUGUGAAUGAACUGCAGUCAUUCUUUUAUUUGUAGUAUUGGAGGCCAGACAGGUGGCACAAAACCUGGUGUUCUCUCAUACAGCGACAGCUAGCACUGAUGUUUGAUGUGGAGUGGUGAGAGGAAAGUAACUUUGCCAGGCCUUUAUGAAUGCAGAAACAUGACAGAUCUUAUCUGUUUCCCUUGCCUAAGAUCCCCAGUGACCUGGAAGAAGGGAAGACACAAAGGUUUGGGAAAGCCCCACUCCCUUCCUCCCCCUCCUUCUCUUCUCAGUGUGAAUGAAUCUGCGUUUCUCACGUACGCUUCUGCACAAACACAGAAACAAAGCGGAGAGUGUUGCCCCAUAUGGGAAAAAACAUGGAGAUCAUUUUCUAUAAAGCUGUUAAGACUUAAGCGUGACAUUGUGGCUAUUGAUGGUGUAUUGAUGAUGUGGGUGGAUUGUAGCUCUCUUUGCUGCGAGGAUGUGGUUUUUUAACUGCACACUGAAGAUCAAAACAAACUGAGGAAAACAGCUGUGCAUAUGCCUCUGGGUUGGAUUGCAAGGAUAAUAUUUUUCUAAUCACAUAAACUCUCUGUUACGAAAUAUGAGGGAAGAUAUUAUAAACCCAUUCAGGCGUGUCUGAGAAAAUAAUCCUUUAUUAUUUGAAAUAUUUCACUGGGUCUGUUAAAGCAAUACUAAGCGUGACUUCAGUGGAGAGGAAUGAGGAACCAUAUGUGGGGUGUAUUCAAAGAUAUUGGAAAAAAUGUUGACUGGAAUAUUAAAAAAGGUUCGUUUACAGCCUAUUCUCACCCCACAGUGUGACUUCAGGUGAUGCUGGGAGAGGUACAUAGAGCUUGUGUCCUUCUUGAGGGAGGCUUGGACGAGUAUGGCGGACUGAGGGACACAGUCCAGAUGAGAAGCAUUGGCUGUUCCAGCUGUAAUCGCAGCUGCCAUCUGCAUGCUCUCUCAAGACAGAUGAACAGGUGCUUUGUGAUGUGGCGGCCGUGUUAAAAGUGGAGAGAUCUGUAGCACACCCCCCACUACAUCCUCCCAGCUCUCAGUACUGUACUCCAACAUCUCAAUGAGCUUUAGUGGCUCUCAGUUGGUGGGUUGUGACACAAAAAUUAAAGAUUGCUUAUUAUUAAGUGGCAGAAAGCAAUAGACAAAGAAAAAAACUGUUAAUGGCGUUUAUUUGCAAGAAUGUCAUGAUAACUACUUGUUGGUGUCAUGCCCCGUCAUUAAAAAGCAUGUUCUGAACAUAAACCAGUAGAUUUUAAAAUACUGAAUAUUUAUUUAUACUUCUUAUUGAUAUUUAGUUAAAUUAAAAAGGACUUGAAUUUUAGCUUAAAGCAAAAGUUUUUAACCAUUUUAUAAUGGAUUUUAUAAUGGACAUUCCUUAACAAGUGCUCUAUGCAUUUUGCCCUGC